CAUGCAGAUAAGGCAGCAGUGUGAAGCCCAGUGUGGAUAGUGUUCCAUGGAUAAAGACCGCUGGUUGAGCUGGUGCCUUUAUUGCUGGGCAUUUUGUGUUUUUGGUGACAAGUGCCUGGGACAGGCUGCUGGUGGGGAGAGAGAGAGAAAGCUGCAUGCUCCAGUUCUGGAGCUCUCAGUCUAAGAACUUCCUGAACUGAAGCUUACAGAUCCAGAGGCAGAAAUGAAAAAGGUACAGAUAAAGAGGAUGCCCAUGUAGAAAUUUCAGUCACCUACACUGCUCAAAGGAGAGAACCACAGCUGGUGAUUGCUUGAGGCAAUCUGGCACACCUGUAAUGGGGCAGCACAGAAAACGUUUCUGCGUGGGAGAUUCUCUGCCAGAUCAUUCCGGAUAUAAGUUUCAGCAGCACAUGGUGCUCACAUUCGUACAGUGUUAAGAAUAGUUACUGCUGAAAUAACAAAGGCUGCGGAACCACAGAGCUACUCCCCCCAACUCUUCUGCCAAAAUUGUGUCAAAAGCUGCAACACCAACAUGGAACUUUCAAUCAAAACAAAGAACAAUGAUUUCAUCUUAUUUUGAAAAGACAGAAUUAUUUUAUGGAUGUGUCAGAUUAAGACGUUUCAGACUUACAAAAGUACAUCAUUUGAUAUUCAUCCAUCCAGACUUGAACUCUAUCCCAUUGUGCAUUUAACUUUUGUAUGGAAUUAGAUAGUGAUUUUGUGAAGAAAAACAGGAUACAAUCACAUAAUCAAAGAUUAUAACUUUAUCCAUAGGCAAAAGAGGCCACAGUAGUUUCUUGAGCUAAGUUCACUUUUCAUCCUAUGUAACUUCCAAAGUGCUUUUCACAAAGUGAAAUAAAUGCAUUCAGUAACACCCAAAUGUUAAGUGAGAAGUUUGAACCUUUACUCUUCUGUAAAUCAGUUUAUACUGCUUUUAUCUGAAGCAAAAGACCAAAUUCGUUGUCAUAUACACAGUUUUGAUGGUUGUUUAAUUGCUGGUUCUCACUUGCUGUCAACUCAACAAAUCUUAUCUAGAGAUGGUCAAACUCAUGUCGGAUCACUUUUCCUGUAUCUUAUUGCUAACUGCUUCCAUGCAUCCCUAGUGCCUUUUCUGUUUUGGGGGUGAUGUGAGUACGUCUCUGGAACAUCUGUGUUAUUGCUUUUGACAUAUUGACAGGAUUGACAUUCAUAUUUAAAUUUUAGGCAAUAAAUACGUAGAAAUUCAUGGAGAAGCUCAUGGACUGUUCUGUAGCAUGUGAAACUCUUCCCCAUCAAAAGCCUCUUGUAGCCACAGAUCAACAGAAAUGGCAAAUGGCAGGAAAAAGGAUUAAACACCAAUUGAUAUAUAAAGAGAGUAAAUGUAACCAGAUACCUGAUGCCUUUAGGGCUUCUUCUUCCAAUUAAUGUUUCCAGUAUCCAGAUUAGCUUCAAGUGAGUAAAAAGAGCCUUCGUCGUACUGCACAUUCCUUUGUGCCUUCCAAUCCAUUCUUACUUAACUGUCGGAAAUCUUUAAUAUUCACAUAUAGGAAAGAGACUUGUUUUCAAAAAUUAAAUUCUGUAAAACUUCCUUUUUGAGUAAUAGCCCUCAGUGCUACUUAGGAAGGUGUAUCAGGAGUUUUUGCUGCAUGACAAGUUACAUGCUCUCAAGAUCCUACUUAGGUACAAGCUGCUUGCUUUUUGGUUUGAAAUAAAUAUACGUUCUGGUCCC
rnacentral:lncRNA from 7 species